AGCUGUUCCCCUCUGGAGGUUUUUUGACCUUCACAAUUAUAAGGGCCCUGGUUUUCCGGUGGCCCUCUUUUUUUGCCCAA
rfam:Rhizobium leguminosarum bv. viciae chromosome complete genome, strain 3841